rnacentral:rRNA from 1 species
CCUACGGGGGGCAGCAGUGAGGAAUAUUGGUCAAUGGACGAGAGUCUGAACCAGCCAAGUAGCGUGAAGGAUGACUGCCCUAUGGGUUGUAAACUUCUUUUAUAUGGGAAUAAAAUGUUCCACGUGUGGGAUUUUGUAUGUACCAUAUGAAUAAGGAUCGGCUAACUCCGUGCCAGCAGCCGCGGUAAUACGGAGGAUCCGAGCGUUAUCCGGAUUUAUUGGGUUUAAAGGGAGCGUAGGUGGAUUGUUAAGUCAGUUGUGAAAGUUUGCGGCUCAACCGUAAAAUUGCAGUUGAAACUGGCAGUCUUGAGUACAGUAGAGGUGGGCGGAAUUCGUGGGGUAGCGGUGAAAUGCUUAGAUAGCACGAAGAACUCCGAUUGCGAAGGCAGUUCACUGGACUGCAACUGACACUGAGGCUCGAAAGUGUGGGUAUCAAACAGGAUUAGAUACCCCUGUAGUC